CAGCAGCCGCGGUAAUACGGAGGAUGCAAGUGUUAUCCGGAAUCACUGGGCGUAAAGCGUCUGUAGGUGGUUUGAUAAGUCAACUGUUAAAUCUUGAGGCUCAACCUCAAAACCGCAGUCGAAACUAUUAGACUAGAGUAUAGUAGGGGUAAAGGGAAUUUCCAGUGGAGCGGUGAAAUGCGUAGAGAUUGGAAAGAACACCGAUGGCGAAGGCACUUUACUGGGCUAUUACUAACACUGAGAGACGAAAGCUAGGGUAGCAAAUGGGAUUAGAUACCCCAGUAGUCCUAGCUGUAAACAAUGGAUACUAGAUGUUGAACAGAUCGACCUGUGCAGUAUCAAAGCUAACGCGUUAAGUAUCCCGCCUGGGAAGUAUGCUCGCAAGAGUGAAACUCAAAGGAAUUGACGGA
rnacentral:rRNA from 1 species